UCCUACGGGAGGCAGCAGUGAGGAAUAUUGGUCAAUGGUCGGGAGACUGAACCAGCCAAGCCGCGUGAGGGAUGAAGGUACAGAGUAUCGUAAACCUCUUUUGUCAGGGAACAAAGGCGGGGACGUGUCCCCGGAUGAGUGUACCUGAAGAAAAGGCAUCGGCUAACUCCGUGCCAGCAGCCGCGGUAAUACGGAGGAUGCGAGCGUUAUCCGGAUUUAUUGGGUUUAAAGGGUGCGCAGGCGGUCUGUUAAGUCAGCGGUCAAAGCCCGGGGCUCAACCCCGGCCCGCCGUUGAAACGGGCAGG
rnacentral:rRNA from 1 species